rnacentral:rRNA from 1 species
AGCGAACGCUGGCGGCAGGCCUAACACAUGCAAGUCGAACGAACCUUUCGGGGUUAGUGGCGGACGGGUGAGUAACACGUGGGAACGUUCCCUUAGGUUCGGAAUACCUCAGGGAAACUUGUGCUAAUACCGAAUGUGCCCUUCGGGGGAAAGAUUAAUAGCCUUUAGAGCGGCCCGCGUCUGAUUAGCUAGUUGUUUGAGGUAAUGGCUCACCAAGGCGACGAUCAGUAGCUGGUCUGAGAGGAUGAUCAGCCACAUUGGGACUGAGACACGGCCCAAACUCCUACGGGAGGCAGCAGUGGGGAAUCUUGCGCAAUGGGCGAAAGCCUGACGCAGCCAUGCCGCGUGAAUGAUGAAGGUCUUAGGAUUGUAAAAUUCUUUCACCGGGGACGAUAAUGACGGUACCCGGAGAAGAAGCCCCGGCUAACUUCGUG